GAUGAACGCUGGCGGCGUGCCUAAUACAUGCAAGUCGAGCGAACAGACGAGGAGCUUGCUCCUCUGACGUUAGCGGCGGACGGGUGAGUAACACGUGGAUAACCUACCUAUAAGACUGGGAUAACUUCGGGAAACCGGAGCUAAUACCGGAUAAUAUAUUGAACCGCAUGGUUCAAUAGUGAAAGACGGUUUUGCUGUCACUUAUAGAUGGAUCCGCGCCGCAUUAGCUAGUUGGUAAGGUAACGGCUUACCAAGGCAACGAUGCGUAGCCGACCUGAGAGGGUGAGCGGACGCACUGGAACUGAGACACGGUCCAGACUCCUAAGGGAGGGAGCAGUAGGGAAUCUUCCGCAAUGGGCGAAAGCCUGACGGAGCAACGCCGAGUGAGUGAUGAAGGUCUUCGGAUCGAAAAACUCUGUUAUUAGGGAAAAACAAAUGUGUAAGUAACUAUGCACGACUUGACGGUACCUAAUCAGAAAGCCACGGCUAACUACGUG
rnacentral:rRNA from 1 species